rnacentral:rRNA from 1 species
AUGAACGCUGGCGGCGUGCCUAAUCCAUUCCAGUCGAGCGAACGGACGAGAAGCUUGCUUCUCUGAUGUUAUCGGCGGACGGGUGAUUAACACGUGGAUAACCUACCUAUAAUACUGGGUUAACUUCGGGAAACCGGAGCUAAUACCGGUUAAUAUUUUUAACCCCUUGGUUCAAAUGUGAAAGUCGGUCUUGCUGUCACUUAUAGAUGGCUCCUCGCUGCAUUAGCUAGUUGGUAAGGUAACGGCUUACCAAGGCAACGCUGCAUAGCCGACCUGAGAGGGGGAUAGGCCGCACUAGAGCUGAAACACGGACAAGACGACUAAGGGAGGCAGCAGUAGGGAAUCUGAGGCAGUAGGCGAAAGCAUGACGGAGCAACGCCGCGUGAGUGAUGAAGGUCUUCGGAGCGUAAAAAUCGGUUAUGAGGGAAGAACAGAUGUGGAAGGAACUGUGCACAUAGUGACGGUAACUAAUAAGAAAGCCACGGCUAACUACGUG